AUUGAACGCUGGCGGCAGGCCUAACACAUGCAAGUCGAGCGAGCGGCGGACGGGUGAGUAAUGCAUGGGGACUGCCCGAUAGAGGGGGAUAACUACUGGAAACGGUGGCUAAUACCGCAUACUAUCUGCUAACCCAUCUGGGAUUAGCUAGUAGGUGGGGUAAAGGCACACCUAGGCGACGAUCUCUAGCUGGUCGGCGAGGAUGAUCAGCCAACCUGGGACUGAGACACUGCCCGGACUCCUACGGAGGCAGCAGUGGGGAAUAUUGCCCAAUGGUCGCAAGCCUGAUGCAGCCAUGCCGCGUGUAUGAAGAAGGCCUUAGGGUUGUAAAGUACUUUCAGCGGGGAGGCGUUACCCGCAGAAGAAGCACCGGCUAACUCCGUGCCAGCAGCCGCGGUAAUUC
rnacentral:rRNA from 1 species